GCUGAUUCGAGACUCAUGAAACCUGGAUUUCCAGAACUGAUUCCCAGUUCGACCACUUACCGUCUCUGUAAACGUGGCAAGUGCUGUACUUCUCCAAACCUCAGUUUACCCAAAUAUAAAAUGGACAUCACAAGAGUACCCAAUUUAUAGAGUAUCGUGUGAGAGUUAUUAAAUAAUACGAUGUGGAUAAUAAUAUGCCACCCAAAAUACGGCAUUUUGGCAGAAGGGUUAUUUUGAACUAAAGGAAUUGAGAAACCAUAGACGCGGAACACAGCUUUCUACCUUCACCCUGCCUUGCCUCAAAGCACAGCGUGAAUUUCCCUUUGCGCUGGCCUCCCCCCUGCUCCUCGCUCUAAUACCAGGAAGGGCAGAAUGACAAUCACCGGAGACAACUCAAGACUCUUAUCAGCCUAGAGAUGGCACUGAGAGGAAUCUGCAUUUCAAACCUGCCUCAAAUGAACAACCCUUAUCUUCCCUUAGUUUCCCACAUAUAUUUAACUUCCCACAAGCUCAGAAGCUCAGAUUCUUUUUCUUUUGUCACAUCCCGUCUCCGCAUUUAUCACUCUUCGUUAAAAUAGUACGUAAGCCUUCCGGCCUCUUUGGACUUUUCACUUCAUUCCUGUCAGACUUGCCAUAGUCAUAUGAAAUAAACCUUUUUCUCCUGCCAAUCUGCCUCUUAUCGCUCUAUUUUUCAGGGCCUCUGCCCCUCAACUUAAGAGGGUAAAUGAAAAACUGUUUUAUUUUCUGGCCCCAACAAAUAUCACAGAUUCAAAAGCCUUGCUUAUAUCCUAGCACAUCACAUGCCCAACUAAUGCUGGUGGUUUCUUCAGGCUCAAGAAAUGCAAAACAGGGGCGCCUGGGUGGCUCAGUCGGUUAAGUGUCCGACUUCGGCUCAGGUCAUGAUCUCACGGUCCGUGAGUUUGAGCCCCGCGUCGGGCUCUGUGCUGACAGCUCAGAGCCUGGAGCCUGUUUCCGAUUCUGUGUCUCCCUCUCUCUCUGACCCUUUCCUGUUCAUGCUCUGUCUCUCUCUGUCUCAAAAAUAAAUAAACGUUAAAAAAAAAUUAAAAAAAAAAAAAAAAAGAAAUGCAAAACAUUGGACGUUACAAACAUUCUCGAUUCAUUUCUGGCAAACUCCGCUUCUUCCUAAAGGUGGUUCCCAGUGAGCCUCAACAGCCUCUGAAGCCACUUAUUAUUAUCUUUUUCACAACGUUAUUCGUAUUUAACACUUACUGGGAGCUCAGUGUGUGCCAAGCCACCAAUGCGAGCUAAUCACUAUUACUAUCCCUGUUUUCCAGAUGCGGAAUCCAGGGCUCCAGGAUGCAAAAUAAUGGUUAUGUGGCUUGAGUGGCUGAUUAUUGUGUGACGCUACCUCCCUCAGGAUGAGGUUGAGGAUGGAGAGUAGAAGAAAGGAGGUGCAAGAUAAGGAUCCUUAGAAAUGAUCUCUUGCUAAACAGUGCCUUGCAUGUGGCCGCUACUUAGAUACUUGCUGAAUGAAUGGAUGAUUGACCAGAUAUAAAAUUGAGUGAGCAGCCAAACAGGCCAGUCCUCCUGACCACAGCUCUUCAGCCGUUUCGAUAUUAGCAGAAAGGGCCAACUCCACCCCCCCCCCCCAGAACUUUAUAAAUAUUGAUUUCCCAUCCAUUUACCUUUAAGGCAUCUUCUCUUGGGUAAUCACAUCACAUUGCUCUGUGUGUCACAUUGUGUUUUACAUUUUUCUCUUCUCUUCCUCCUCCCCCUGUAUAAUCUAGAGGACAGACCAGCUGGCUACGUAGAUUAAAAUCUUUUUCUGCCCCUCUCUUAGCGCAGCUCUGUGGCUUGGUUUUAUUAGCAAGACCGAAUGGAGUGUUUUUGAAACAGCAGUGAAAUCUCUUGGAACAAAAUGAGAUCGCUCCUGCAACCAUUCUGCCCCAAAGCAUAUUUAUAAGCAAUGGCAAGGAAAGGAGAAGGAGGAAGACACAGCCAUAAGGGGCUUGCUGGCAAAACACGGGUUACACGCCAGGUGCCUUGCCUGAAACUUGAAGACUGGGGUGAGAUUGCUCCAAACAAAAGUAGCGAAGUUCAGAGCCAGAGAAUUCUCUGGACACAAAGGCUUUGCAAUAGAGAACUGUAUAAUGCGGCCGGCGGGUCAGCUGCAAACCGAUGCCCCUGCCCCGCAGCCCAGGGUAACUAGAUUCCUUACCGUCCUUGGGGACAGAGAUGCCCACAGCACUAACUUCAGCCAGGAAACAGAAACCAGCAAGCUGCAAAGGUCGGGAGCACCGUCUCCUUGAGAGAUUAGCCAAGCACCAGUUGGUUUGCAUAAGGCAUGGAGAGUUGCCUGGGAGGACUUUGUCCUCAAGAUCCUUCUGCAUCCAAGAGCACAGGAGCUAAGAUCAUCCCCUGAUCCAACUGGCAUGAGUUCAAUCAAGGCCGACUCGUCGGAAGAGGAGGCUGCCAAAACAGAGCUGCCUUAGCCCAGGGUCCACGGAGGACAAGCACUGGCAUCAGCGGACCCAGCACCUCUGGUGGCCGUGUUGGCAGACAAAGCCCUCAACCGCUCUGCCAAGGCACCGACACUGAUGGACAGUAACAGCAGUACCUUCAGCAGCUCCUUGUGGCAUCUUUGAGCAAAGACCAUAUGAGGACACAGCAAGGAGACAAUUUUCUGCACCUCCAAGACAGAAGCCCCAGCAGACACUGAGCCUGCGGGACUUCCAGACCCCAGCACUGUGAGAAAUAAGCCACCCAGUCUUAAGUUCUGGAAAGCAGCCACCUUGAAUAAGACAUAGACACGCAGAGACACUAGGGGUGUGCAGAGACAAAAGACCUUGCAAGGACACAGCACAAAGGUGGUCAUCUGUGAGUCUAGGACGGAGGCUUCAGAAGAAACUAGACCUCCUAACACCCUGAUUUUGCACUUCUGGCCUCCAGAAUUGUGAGCAAAUAAAUUUUGUGGUUUAAGUUGUCCA